rnacentral:RNase_P_RNA from 1 species
CGAGUGGAACAUACGGCGGCGGGGCGGCUUUGACCGCCCUGAGGAAAGUCCGGGCCUCACAGAGCACGGUAACUGCUAACGGCAGCCGAGGGUGACCUCAGGGAAAGUGCAACAGAAAGGAAACCGCCGCAGCAAUGCGGUAAGGAUGAAAGGGCGAGGUAAGA